rnacentral:rRNA from 1 species
CCUACGGGAGGCUGCAGUGAGGAAUAUUGGUCAAUGGGCGAGAGCCUGAACCAGCCAAGUCGCGUGAGGGAAGACGGUCCUAUGGAUUGUAAACCUCUUUUGCCGGGGAGCAAAAAGCGGUACGUGUACCGCAUCGAGAGUACCCGGAGAAAAAGCAUCGGCUAACUCCGUGCCAGCAGCCGCGGUAAUACGGAGGAUGCGAGCGUUAUCCGGAUUUAUUGGGUUUAAAGGGUGCGCAGGCGGCGAGUUAAGUCAGCGGUAAAAUUUCGGGGCUCAACCCCGACAAGCCGUUGAAACUGGCUUGCUAGAGUGGGCGAGAAGUAUGCGGAAUGCGUGGUGUAGCGGUGAAAUGCAUAGAUAUCACACAGAACACCGAUUGCGAAGGCAUCUCACGAAUCCGCGAUUGACGCUGAUGCACGAAAGCGUGGGUAUCAAACAGGAUUAGAUACCCUAGUAGUC